UUUUAUAGCCGAACAGGCUAGCUUGCUUAGCUGCUACACUGAGCAGCACCUUUAAUUCAACAUCGAGGUCACAAGAUCUUUUAUCAAUUAGGCCUCUCUAAAAGCAUUGUGCUGUUAUCCCUGAGGUAACUACUCUUUAACUUGCUUAAGAUCUCAGUAUCCACUAUAGACAUAGGCUUAUAAAUUAGAUGCUUUACUUUACCGCCCCAGUUUGGCAUAUAUCGCAACAGAUCCUCAAAUUGUUUGAGCUUAGGCCACUCCUAAACCAGCUCUGCAGGGUCUUAUCUUCCCAUUGACUGAGCUUGAAGUUUUGAUCAAAGCCUUAAAUUAUAUAGAGGUGUGGGUUUACAAAUCGUCUUUCAUGAACCCCUUCAUUCUAGACCCCAAUUAAGAGCCAAAUUAUUAUGCUGCCUUUGCACAGUUCAGG
rnacentral:rRNA from 1 species